CUUUGUCACUGAUCUUAUCACAUCUUUAGCAUGGCUUUUUUGAACCCUGAAUAAAGCACAAAAGUUAGUUGUCAUGGUGAUUGAAUCAGAUAAUUUCACAGUCACAUUGUGAAAAUGACAAACACAGUUUAAUGAAAGUGAUAUGUUGUAAAGCCCUUGUCUUUCUUGAUAUGAUAGAUGGCUUUUGGAACAAGAGCUCAGGAAAUGGAGAGAGCCGCAUCCUGGAGGACACAUGUCUGAAGCUCUUUUAGGAAAAACGCCGCCUCAAAGAGACAUGAGACAGCAUGUGGAGGACAUUAGAAGGGAGUUAGAGUCUGUCAAAAAAGAAAACGGUACAUUGCGUACUGCACUUGAGGAAAAGUCAAGUCUAAGUUCCAGUUUGACGCUGUCACAUGAAGAUGAACAGGUACUCUACAUUUAAUCACUAAUUUU
rnacentral:lncRNA from 1 species